rnacentral:tRNA from 1 species
GGAGAUGUAGUUCAGUGGUAGAAUACAUGUUUAUUAUGCAUGAGACCCUGCAGAACUCAAAAGACAAACAAAAAACCCAGAUUUCUUUUCUUUUCUU